AAUCGUACCCCAAACCGACACAGGUGGUCAGGUAGAGAAUACCAAGGCGCUUGAGAGAACUCGGGUGAAGGAACUAGGCAAAAUGGUGCCGUAACUUCGGGAGAAGGCACGCUGGUGUGUAGGUGAAGUCCCUGCGGAUGGAGCUGAGACCAGUCGAAGAUACCAGCUGGCUGCAACUGUUUAUUAAAAACACAGCACUGUGCAAACACGAAAGUGGACGUAUACGGUGUGACGCCUGCCCGGUGCCGGAAGGUUAAUUGAUGGGGUUAUCCGUAAGGAGAAGCUCUUGAUCGAAGCCCCGGUAAACGGCGGCCGUAACUAUAACGGUCCUAAGGUAGCGAAAUUCCUUGUCGGGUAAGUUCCGACCUGCACGAAUGGCGUAAUGAUGGCCAGGCUGUCUCCACCCGAGACUCAGUGAAAUUGAACUCGCUGUGAAGAUGCAGUGUACCCGCGGCAAGACGGAAAGACCCCGUGAACCUUUACUAUAGCUUGACACUGAACAUUGAGCCUUGAUGUGUAGGAUAGGUGGGAGGCUUUGAAGCGUGGACGCCAGUCUGCGUGGAGCCAACCUUGAAAUACCACCCUUUAAUGUUUGAUGUUCUAACGUUGGCCCCUGACCGGGGUUGCGGACAGUGUCUGGUGGGUAGUUUGACUGGGGCGGUCUCCUCCCAAAGCGUAACGGAGGAGCACGAAGGUUAGCUAAUCCUGGUCGGACAUCAGGAGGUUAGUGCAAUGGCAUAAGCUAGCUUGACUGCGAGCGUGACGGCGCGAGCAGGUGCGAAAGCAGGUCAUAGUGAUCCGGUGGUUCUGAAUGGAAGGGCCAUCGCUCAACGGAUAAAAGGUACUCCGGGGAUAACAGGCUGAUACCGCCCAAGAGUUCAUAUCGACGGCGGUGUUUGGCACCUCGAUGUCGGCUCAUCACAUCCUGGGGCUGAAGUAGGUCCCAAGGGUAUGGCUGUUCGCCAUUUAAAGUGGUACGCGAGCUGGGUUUAGAACGUCGUGAGACAGUUCGGUCCCUAUCUGCCGUGGGCGCUGGAGAAUUGAGGGGGGCUGCUCCUAGUACGAGAGGACCGGAGUGGACGCAUCACUGGUGUUCGGGUUGUCAUGCCAAUGGCACUGCCCGGUAGCUAAAUGCGGAAGAGAUAAGUGCUGAAAGCAUCUAAGCACGAAACUUGCCCCGAGAUGAGUUCUCCCUGAGACUUUAAGUCUCCUGAAGGAACGUUGAAGACGACGACGUUGAUAGGCCGGGUGUGUAAGCGCAGCGAUGCGUUGAGCUAACCGGUACUAAUGAACCGUGAGGCUUAACC
rnacentral:rRNA from 1 species